rnacentral:misc_RNA from 1 species
CCAAUAGCGUAUAUUAAAGUUGUUGCAGUUAAAAAGCUCGUAGUUGAAUUUCGGAAUCAGUAUGUUGGUCGUGCUUCGGUACGUACUGUCAUUACUGGUUUCUACCUUCUGAAGAACCUUGAUGUCAUUAAUUUGGUGUCUUGGGGAAUCAGGACUGUUACUUUGAAAAAAUUAGAGUGUUUAAAGCAAGCAUACGCUUGAAUACAUUAGCAUGGAAUAAUGAAAUAGGACGUUUGAUUCUAUUUUGUUGGUUUCUAGGAUCGACGUAAUGAUUAAUAGGGAUAGUUGGGGGCAUUAGUAUUCAAUUGUCAGAGGUGAAAUUCUUGGAUUUAUUGAAGACGAACUACUGCGAAAGCAUUUGCCAAGGAUGUUUUCAUUAAUCAAGAACGAAAGUUAGGGGAUCGAAGACGAUCAGAUACCGUCGUAGUCUUAACCAUAAACUAUGCGACUAGGGAUCGGAUGAUGUUAUUUUUAAUGACUCAUUCGGCGCCUUACG